GGAGUGUCACAUGACUGCCGCCCCAUGUGUGUGAGAGGCGUCCUCUGGGAGAGCAUGGAUCCUGAGGUCCCAGGAUUGUCAGCUGACCUCUGUCCUGUGUGCCCAGUGGCCCCAGGUGACGUGUCUUCAAGAAGAGGCUGAGCUGCGGUGCUUGUAAGGCAGGGUCUCAUUCUGUCACCCAGGCUGGAGUGCAGUGGUGCAAUGAUGGCUCACUGCAGCCUCGACCUGGGCUCAAGUGAUCCUCCACCUCAGCUUCCUGAGUAGCUGGGACCACAGGUCUCAGCCUUAGAUCCAAGGACAGUCCAAGGAAGUCCUAAGACCAUGGAGUUGGUGAUCUGGGAUCUGGGUUUGCUGAUAUUUCUCACCGUGAAUCUCUUGGUGGUGUUUGUGGGCACGAGAGGGGCAGAGAAUGGAGAGUGAGGCUACCACAUGAAGCGUCACCAGAGCUGCUCCCUGCUGCCUGCUCAGAGCACCCCGGAUCCACUGUUCAAUCUGCACAAGAUUCGGGGUCCAGACAUGGGAGACUUCAGCUGCCUCAGAGGACCGUGGACAGGGAAGGCCAGCCUCGCAUCCCUCUGUCCAUGCCUGGAAUGACUUUAAUAACCAAGAGUUUUAUUUUUGAAUUUGUAGCUGUCGUUCACUUUUUACCCACCCAUUCAAUAAACCUUACAGAA
rnacentral:lncRNA from 1 species